rnacentral:lncRNA from 1 species
CCAUAAUGUACAAAAUAAUAUGGUUACAACAUUUUCUUCUAGGGACAAACAUGAUCCCAAGUUCAGCUCCACAGGAAGUUGACAAGCAUGAGAAACAACAGGGCAAAGGUGUUCCAGAAAGGCAAGCCAAACACAUUUACAAAAGAGCCCUUCCAAAAUAAAGACAGACUGAAAGGAAAGCAGGCGGCUAUUCUAAGAUUCUUAUCUGGAACAUCAGCGGGAACUCCAGACUUGGACCAAAGGCAGUUCACGACCUUUGUAGAAUUGCUUCAGACUCUUAAAAAAGGACAGUCCAGAUUUGCUUUUUCAUCCUGUAUGCCUUUUUCCUCUCUUGCUGCAGAGCUGGGUCAACAGGAAGCUCUAAAGCAGGGGAUGAGGCCAUGGACGUCCCUGAAAAUGUGCCUCCUCUCUCUGCAGAGAUCAGGAUCAUCCUGGUCUCAGCUCAGCACCUGGAGUGAAGAGUACUCCCAGCAGAGCCAGAGCGGUGAGCCCACCCCGUUGCCCACUUCUGCGUGUCCACCCAGACUUAAGGUUUGUGGGUGGCUCCUAGAAGAUCUUGAUUUGCUCCCAAAGGAAUAUUAUUUUACUGGGUUUGUUUCCUGUCAAACUGUGCCCCCUGGUCAACCAUGA